rnacentral:tRNA from 1 species
UCCGCCUUGGUGUAACGGCAGCACGACGGCCUUUGGUGCCGUUAGGUCCGGGUUCGAAUCCUGGAGGCGGAGCCC